GGGCGGGUGGCGGAACUGGCAGACGCACGGGACUUAAAAUCCCGAGUCCACUUGUGGAUGUGAGGGUUCAACUCCCUCCCCGCCCA
rnacentral:tRNA from 1 species